rnacentral:snoRNA from 1 species
UCAAUGCCAACAGCCCUUCCUGGACUGUUUUUAUGUGGCAAAAGGUACACGAACAUCUUUAAAGAAAGAUUUGACUUGUUCCAUUCCACAGCAUUGUAGAUAAACCCAGUCCCCUAAUCUUGUAUUGGGUGUGGACUGGAUUCUGUCAAAUCCAUGUGCUUUCAUAGAUUACUAUGUUAAGAUCGAAAUGACAGAAUACAGAC